rnacentral:lncRNA from 1 species
AAACUAUGGUGCAUUAGGCGCAAACCAUGCACAUAUCUUGCACCGAAACUAACACUGUUUCUAAACAGACCAAAGAGAGAUUCCAUAUGACACACAUCAUCAAGGAGUUCCAUCGGGUGCAUCCAAAUUGAUUUCCAAGCAUAUGGUAUGUUCCAUGCAAACCGUGUACCUAUCUUGCAUCAAGAUUAGCACUAUCUCCAAACAGAUCGAACAGAGCUUCCACUUGACCCUCUUCAUCUAGGAGUACAAAUUGGUGUGUCAAAAAUGGUUUCUUAGACUAUGCUGCAUUAGGCACAAACUAUGCACCUAUCUCGCAGCGAAACUAACAUUGUCUCCAAACAGACUGAAGCGUGAUUCCAUAUGACACACGUCAUCUAGGAGUUCCAUUGGGUGUGU